rnacentral:misc_RNA from 1 species
AAGAGUUGCAAAACUCCAAACCAUUGUGAACGUUACCUUUACCGUUGCUUCGGCGGGCGGCCCGGGUCCUGCCCGGCGCCCCUCGGCCCCUCGCGGGCGCCCGCCGGAGGUAAACCAAACUCUUGAAUUUCAUGGCCUCUCUGAGUCUUCUGUACUGAAUAAGUCA